CACCAGCAGCCUGCUGUCUGGAGGAUAGUGGAGGAGUCGGAUGCUACCAAGCAACCACAGAAAAGAAUGGAAAGUUGGAGAUUUGGGGAGAUGCUCCAGAGGAGAGAUAACCUUGCAGCAGAGGCAUUCAGCUGUAGGCUUGCUUUGGCCACCAGGGUGAGGCAGAAGAGAGGAAGUUCCACUUCCAAAGUUUGGCUGCCUUUCAUUUCCGUCAUCCCCGUCAGGACCAUGUUCCCCAGGAAAUCGGGAAGAAGACAAGAGCAGACCUGCUUCAGCUGAGGACUCAGGUUUCCUUGCUUGACAAUGGCACCUCCAGGAUGAAGCAGUAUUUUGCAAAUUUUACACACCACAUUUUGGAACUAUCCCAGCCAGG